rnacentral:rRNA from 1 species
UACGUAGGGCGCAAGCGUUGUCCGGAAUUAUUGGGCGUAAAGAGCGUGUAGGCGGCCAUACAGGUCAGCUGUGAAAACUCGAGGCUCAACCUCGAGACGUCGGUUGAAACCGUAUGGCUAGAGUCCGGAAGAGGAGAGUGGAAUUCCCGGUGUAGCGGUGAAAUGCGCAGAUAUCGGGAAGAACACCCGUGGCGAAAGCGGCUCACUGGACCACAACUGACGCUGAUGCACGAAAGCUAGGGGAGCAAACAGG